GUGGGGAAUAUUGGACAAUGGGCGCAAGCCUGAUCCAGCCAUGCCGCGUGAGUGAUGAAGGCCUUCGGGUUGUAAAGCUCUUUAGCCGAUGAUUAUAAUGACUGUAGUCGGAAAAUAAGCCCCGGCUAACUUCGUGCCAGCAGCCGCGGUAAUACGAAGGGGGCGAGCGUUAUUCGGAAUCACUGGGCGUAAAGCGUGCGUAGGCGGCUUUGCAAGUUGGGAGUGAAAGCCCAGGGCUCAACCCUGGAAUUGCUCUCAAAACUGCAAGGCUCGAAUUCGGGAGAGGAUAGCGGAAUUGUCAGUGUAGCAGUGAAAUGCGUAGAUAUUGACAGGAACACCAGUGGCGUAAGCGGCUAUCUGGACCGAUAUUGACGCUGAGGCACGAAAGCGUGGGGAUCAAACAGGAUUAGAUACCCUGGUAGUCC
rnacentral:rRNA from 1 species